GAUGAACGCUGGCGGCGUGCCUAAUACAUGCAAGUCGAGCGAACAGACGAGGAGCUUGCUCCUCUGACGUUAGCGGCGGACGGGUGAGUAACACGUGGAUAACCUACCUAUAAGACUGGGAUAACUUCGGGAAACCGGAGCUAAUACCGGAUAAUAUAUUGAACCGCAUGGUUCAAUAGUGAAAGACGGUUUUGCUGUCACUUAUAGAUGGAUCCGCGCCGCAUUAGCUAGUUGGUAAGGUAACGGCUUACCAAGGCAACGAUGCGUAGCCGACCUGAGAGGGUGAGCGGCCACACUGGAACUGAGACACGGGCCAGACGCCUACGGGAGCCAGCAGGAGGGAAUCUUCCGCAAUGGGCGAAAGCCUGACGGAGCAACGCCGCGUGAGUGAUGAAGUUCUUCGGAUCGUAAAACUCUGUUAUGAGGGAAGAACAAAUGGGUAAGGAACUAUGCACGUCUCGACGCUACCUAAUCAGAAAGACACGGCUAAGUAAGAG
rnacentral:rRNA from 1 species